GAAAAAUUUCGGAGGAAGUGAUAACCAUUUUCUUCAUCUUCAACCAUUCAUACUUCAACAUGGAACAUCCUAGCGUCAACCAAGCUUUUAGGCUUCUGGUGUUGGCUCUCAUUAUUGAGAAAUUUGUAUUACAUAGUGGAUGAGAUUACAAGUGUAGUUGCAGUUUUGCCUUCACAGUGCUUGUUCAGUUGAUAAAAGACCAAAAUGAUAACAAUAGAACAACUUU
rnacentral:misc_RNA from 1 species